AGCAGCAGCCACGGGAAUACGUAGGGUGCAAGCGUUAAUCGGAAUUACUGGGCGUAAAGCGUGCGCAGGCGGUUCGCUAAGACAGAUGUGAAAUCCCCGGGCUUAACCUGGGAACUGCAUUUGUGACUGGCGGGCUAGAGUAUGGCAGAGGGGGGUAGAAUCCCACGUGUAGCAGUGAAAUGCGUAGAGAUGUGGAGGAAUACCGAUGGCGAAGGCAGCCCCCUGGGCCAAUACUGACGCUCAUGCACGAAAGCGUGGGGAGCAAACAGGAUUAGAUACCCGAGUAGUCCCUGUCUCUUAUAC
rnacentral:rRNA from 1 species